rnacentral:rRNA from 1 species
UCCAGGAUUGAACGCUGGCGGCGUGCUUAACGACAUGCAAGUCGACGAGAAAGGGACUUCGGUCCUGAGUAGAGUGGCGCACGGGGUGAGUAACGCGUAGGUAAUCUACCUCUGCAUCUGGGAUAACACUUCGAAAGGGUGCUAAUACCGGAUACACUCAUGGAUCGCGAGAUGUAUGAGGAAAGGAGACCUCUCCUUGGAAGUUUCUGUGUAGAGAUGAGCCUGCGUCCCAUUAGCUAGUUGGCAGGGUAAGAGCCUACCAAGGCGACGAUGGGUAGCGGGUCUGAGAGGAUGAUCCGCCACACUGGAACUGAAACACGGACCAGACUCCUACGGGAGGCAGCAGUGAGGAAUAUUGGACAAUGGGCGCAAGCCUGAUCCAGCGACGCCGCGUGAGUGAUGAAGGCCUUUGGGUCGUAAAGCUCUGUCAGCAGGGAAGAACGGCCGUGCGGUUAAUACCCGUGCGGAUUGACGGUACCUGCAGAGGAAGCACCGGCUAACUCCGUGCCAGCAGCCGCGGUAA